GAUCCUGGCUCAGGAUGAACGCUAGCUACAGGCUUAACACAUGCAAGUCGAGGGGCAGCAUGAACUUAGCUUGCUAAGUUUGAUGGCGACCGGCGCACGGGUGAGUAACACGUAUCCAACCUUCCCGUUACUCUGGGAUAGCCUUUCGAAAGAAAGAUUAAUACCGGAUAGUAUCGAGAGAUUGCAUGAUAACCCGAUUAAAGAUUUAUCGGUAACGGAUGGGGAUGCGUUCCAUUAGGUUGUUGGCGGGG
rnacentral:rRNA from 1 species